UCAGUCGGCCGGACGGCCGCUCCCGCUACGGUCGAAAGGCUGCGGGGGAGGAAAGUCCGGGCUCCAUCGACAUACGGUGCCGGAUAACGUCCGGCGGGGGCGACCCCAGGGAAAGUGCCACAGAGAACGAACCGCCCGCCUUCGCAGCUCCGCUGCUUCGGCGCGGCAAGCCCUCGGGCCUGCUGCGCCGUAACCCGCAAGGGUGAAGGCGAGUAAGGGUGAAAAGGUGCGGUAAGAGCGCACCGCGUCGCCGGCAACGGAGACGGCAUGGUAAACCCCACCGGGAGCAAAACCGAAUAGGGACGGCACAGCGGACAGUUCGCUCUCGGGCGAUAACUCCGCAGGGUGAUGUCAAACCCGCCGUCCGGGUAGGUUGCUCGAGGCGCUGUGCAAACAGCGUCCCAGAGGAAUGGCCGUCGCGUACCACGUCCGCAAGGACGCGGUGCCCUCCAGAACCCGGCUUACAGGCCGGCUGAUACU
rnacentral:RNase_P_RNA from 1 species